ACGUCAGAAAGCUUCCACCUUUCCAGUUUCCUCAAAUAGUUUCUCAUUCAAAUUCAAAUUCACUAUUUCCCCAAUCCAGAUCUGGAAAACAAAUUCCAUAACCCAGAGAGAGAGCCGAUGGAAACGCCCUUGAUUCAACCGAUCUUCAUAUAUAAGUUUUUGACCGAUUAUGGUUUUUCGAUUCGUCGUCUGUAGAGAUGAAGAUCGUCUUCUUCAGGUGUUUACAACGAUCUCGGAGCUCCAGAUCUGAGCAUAAGUUUAUCACGGCCGGUGCUCGGCGGCGAGCAACAUCCGUACCCUAGGCGGUGCCGUACUGGUCGCCCGAUGUCCACCAAAGGGUUAAUAUAUCAUUGUUUUGUUUGAGGAAUAAAUUGAAAAUCACUGUUGGAAUUGGAGCAAAAAUUAGAGAUCUUGAAUUUGUUUUUCGUUCAGAAGGGAAAAUAAAGCAUAACAAUGCUUCAGCAAUUGAUCUCAAUGCUAAAGAUGAUGGUCCAUCAUGUGUUGAUGACACAACUUUAUCGCAAUCGAAGAUGAAUUGUGUAAAGUCGAGAGGUUUCACAUUUGAUCUAAACAUCGAAGAUGAUCAAGAUCAAGUGAAACCGCGCGAUUCAUUGUCGGAAUGUGGGAGUACUUGUCAUUUAGGGGGUGAGCGAGACUCGGUGAGGGUUGGAACAAAAUGAAGCGAAACGGGUUUUUAAUAAGUUGCUGGAAAUAGAAAUCAAGUAAUCUGCUUUACUUCUUCAUCAGCAUUGUUGUUGUUCAUGGUUUGAUGGUUGUUUUCCUUCGACAUCAUGUUCGUUGCUGAAGGAUUUGAAGAGCUCUUCAAGGAAAUCACCCAGCUACUAACACCGAAGAUCACCUGACAUAGCAGGAACGAUUAUUGGUUCAUUCGGUUGAUGAUCUUGUACAUAGCGUGUGCGCAUAAGAUAUGGUGGUGAAGAAGAGAACGGAUAGUGGAGGAUUUCAUGAUUUACUGGCCCCGUGAUAACUAGAGCUCCUAGAUCCUUGCGGAGGAGGAUUCUACAUAACAAAUCAUUCAAAGAUGGUGGAAUUUGUGCUUUUGAGUUGUUGGCAAAUGUAGCCGACAAGCUAUUACUGAACUAUAAACCGAAAAACAUUGUCGAUUAUGAUGUUGGAGACGUCGAUAAUGAACUGGCGCAAGUCGAAUAUGUCGAAAGACAUCUACAAACUCCACAAACAUGUAGAGGAUUUGAAGGUUUUUUCCACCUUUAAUGAAGAGCUCUUCAACACCCAGCUACUAACACCGGAGAUCACCAUGGAGAAUAUGGUGUAUUUGUACGUUGAACUGGGACUGAUGCAUUACGGGAUUUUUAUUUGACCCUUUUGACCCGUUCAAGAUAACGCACAACCCGAAUGGGUCAAACGACACGUGAUGACCCGUAUGAGGUUCACCUAACUACACCAGUGGAGGGUUAUGAUCCCAUCCAAUUUAGUCUUACAAAAAUGUGCGAAUCCAAGCAAAAUGAAGCAGGAACAUCUCCGAAAGGAUGGGCUCUAUUUGGAUCAUUUCCUGCAUAUUCUGCUGCGAUGGCUUUAUUUACAAGACUCAAGUACAAAGACAAGCAAGCUAUGCUAUUUACUCUUUCAUUAAAAUGGGUUUUUUAAAAUAUGUAUAUUUUCUCAGAAUUAUUGUUUAAUAAAAGCAGCAUGGAAUUGAUGCACUGCCUGCCAUGACCAUUUUAUCUGCAUGUUUGGAGACUGUGAGUGGUGGGGGAGGUUACAUGCAGGCGGAUGAUUUUAGUUUGUUAUUUAUUUACUUAUUUUUAUUUUAGAUUAGCAUUAAUUUAUGUUACUUCAUACUUUAAAUAAACAUUUCAUAGGAACAUUUUAAAAAAUGGAGAUGUCGAACAAGUGUCAAAACAUUAUUAUUUUAAAUUAUUUGGU